CCCUCCCGUAGAAGGGGGGCCUGCGGAAGGAUCAUUAAUGAAUAAACUUGGUCGAGUUGUUGCUGGUCCUCCGGGGCAUGUGCACGCUUGCCACUUUUAUAACCACCUGUGCACCUUUUGUAGACUGGAAACGUUCUCGAGGCAACUCGGAUUGAGGACUGCUGUGCGCAAGCCAGCUGUUCUUGUGUUUCUCAGUCUAUGUUUUUCAUAUACUCCAAAUGUAUGUAUCUGAAUGUAUUGCUAGGCCUUAGUGCCUUUAAAACAAAUACAACUUUCAACAACGGAUCUCUUGGCUCUCGCAUCGAUGAAGAACGCAGCGAAAUGCGAUAAGUAAUGUGAAUUGCAGAAUUCAGUGAAUCAUCGAAUCUUUGAACGCACCUUGCGCUCCUUGGUAUUCCGAGGAGCAUGCCUGUUUGAGUGUCAUUAAAUUCUCAACUAUACAAGUUUUUAUGACUUGCAUAGCUUGGAUCUUGGGAUUUGCGGGCUUUCACGAGUCGGCUAUCCUUAAAUGUAUUAGCAGAGCUUUUGCCGCUAAUCAUUGGUGUGAUAAUUAUCUACGCCAUUGAGAGGUGACAUACUGAGGCUUAGCUUCUAAUCGUCUUCACAGACAACUUUUGACAAUCUGACCUCAAAUCAGGUACGAUGCCCAGC
rnacentral:rRNA from 1 species